GACGAACGCUGGCGGCGUGCUUAACACAUGCAAGUCGAACGGAAAGGCCCUGCUUUUGUGGGGUGCUCGAGUGGCGAACGGGUGAGUAACACGUGAGUAACCUGCCCUUGACUUUGGGAUAACUUCAGGAAACUGGGGCUAAUACCGGAUAGGAGCUCCUGCUGCAUGGUGGGGGUUGGAAAGUUUCGGCGGUUGGGGAUAGACUCGCGGCUUAUCAGCUUGUUGGUGGGGUAGUGGCUUACCAAGGCUUUGACGGGUAGCCGGCCUGAGAGGGUGACCGGCCACAUUGGGACUGAGAUACGGACCAGAAGCCUACGGGAGGCAGCAGUGGGGAAUAUUGCACAAUGGGCGGAAGCCUGAUGCAGCAACGCCGCGUGCGGGAUGACGGCCUUCGGGUUGUAAACCGCUGUCGCCUGUGACGAAGCGUGAGUGACGGUAAUGGGUAAAGAAGCACCGGCUAACUACGUG
rnacentral:rRNA from 1 species